CUGAAAUUCAAAUUAACCUGAGCAUCCUGCAUUUUUAUGUAUUAAACCUAAUAUCCUUACUAAAAGAUGACUAGGUGCCAGGCACUCUACUAAGAACUGAGCAUGGGACACAAAAUAGGCCCAGUCAUUUUCCUUGUGGCAUGUCCAAUGACUGAGGCAGGCAUUAAUGGAAAUACUGCCCAGGUGACUCUAACUAGGGUAUUGUGAUAAUUUCUUAGGGAGGAAAAGUACAGUGCUCAAUAGCGGGACCUAACCUGGGCUGGAGGACUAGUGAAAGUUCCCCAAGGAAAGGAUAUUUAGAGAUCUGAGGUUCAGGGAGGAUUUAAUUAAAUAAAUAGAAAGGGAGGGGGACUUUGGGGGGCAGAAAGGGCAAUAUUUGUGAAAUGAUUUUUAGGUAGGAGGAAUUUUGGGAAUUACGGUCUGCAGGGGAACAGGGAGCAGUGUUGCUGGACCUCAGAGAGAGAGAGAAAGAGAGGAGAGGCUGGAGGGGUGGGCAAGGGCCAGGACAAACAGGGUCCUGCAGGUCGUGCUUAGUGCACCCGGCUUUAUUCUAGUUAAAUGCAAAGUCAUUGAGGGGCUUAAAGUAGGGCUUGAGAAGAUCAGGUUUCUAAAAGGUCCCCUGUUUAGUGGUGAAGAGUUUGGGACCUGGGAAGAACUAGGGGACCUGCAACCCAGAUAAUAAAUGAUGGUGACUUGGACCAUCAUCCGUCGGUCCUGGCCCAGGGCUGAGGAGAGAGAAGAUUUGAAUGCAGUGUCUUUCCUGUUUCCUUAGGCUGUCAGCCUUUUCUCCUUCUCGUACCGAACUGAUCUUUUCACGCGGCCACCCAGUUUCUCAUGGGGAGACCUACAACUGAAACCCAGGUAUUCUAAGUCUCAAUACCUGCUCCUCAUGAUUGUUCGCUUAGUAUUUUUUCCCCACAUAGUCACUGUGUGCAUCAAGCUGUUUGAUUUCUGAAACUCUGGGCUUCUCCCUUUGGGGAUGAGAGCAUUCAUGGCAUUCACAGUCUCUGGUAACAUACAGUACCCGAGAGGAAAAACACCAUCAUUUGUUUAACCUGCGAGAUCAUUUUUUGUCAUGUAUUGGUGUCUAUAAAGAUUUUAAGAUGAUGUGACAUAGGAUAUACAUGUUUUAGUGAACUACCAGGUUCAAAAUUUUCUUUAGGGAUUUUUAGUUUCACUUUGUACCCUGUAUGAAACUUCCCUUCAUAGGCACCUGCAGGCUGGUAACCGAUGCUUUCCUGCAGCUCCUGUGGCGGGGAGAGCUCGCUGUGCCUACUGCCGCAGUAGUGGAGCGCACUCAACAGAUCCAGGGGGGCCCUAGAUGCCCUGAGCCCAAAUCAACUUCCUGGCAACGCCAAACGCUGACUUCAUUCCGCCUCCAAGACACGCUGAAUGAGCCCACUUCUUCUUCCAUGCUGCAGCGAUUUUUUUAAAAAGACAUUUGAACAUGGGUCCUGUACAAUUCCACUUGACCCGUGAGCCUCUCUCAUUCUUUGUGGGCACCUUCCCCGUCAGUUUCUUUCACCCAGGAACUAGCUCUCCAGUGAGGGGUCCUUUCUUGGAUUGACGACCAUUAAAGGGAAGUAAAUGUGCUGACAGGUAAGAUCCGGGGCAGGAUAUUUGCUGGGACGCUCCGGGAGGUCAAUGCAGGAAUACUUCAGUUUCUGAAAAUUAAAUUGGGUUUUACUAAUGGCUUGAAUUUCCUAUGGACAGAGAGAGUGGAAAGUAAUGCAAGGAAAGGAGAUUUCAAUCAAACACUUGAUAGACUCCCCCAGUGGAUUGAGCCCCACAUGGUGCCUCCGUGCCCAGGUGUGCUGCUGUUGAAGCCAUAAUCGGGCCCCCUCCCCGCUGAGGUAGCCAGAAGGUGUUUUUUAAUCUAAUGCAAGUGUAAUUAAAUCCUUUUUCAUCUUGAGGAGAACCGUUUGCUUGGAGGGUUCUCACAGAGCAAAAAUUCUCUGAGUUUGCCGUUGAACUGUGCCAUUUUACCAGUCUGAUGUCGGGCAUGGACUUCACCUCUCCAAGCCUCAAUCUGCUCAUUUAUAAAAUGGCACUUUGUCCUGUUGGCUUGGUGGAAUCCCUGUUGUGUGGACACCCUUCCAGCUCGUUUUCACCUGGUCAGCCCAACUCUACCCGGAAAAAUUAUCUGUGACAUUAGUUCUUUGGAAGAGUCCCCGGACUUCCUGACCCCACAGACUAGAAUAGGUCCCCACUGAGGUGCUGCCACAGCUCGUCAUGUCUUCCUUCUUGUAGGACUCCUGAUACCUCGGGCUGUGUGCUUAGUUCUCCAUCCCUUCAGGACUGCAGGGACUAUGAGAGGAGGAAGCAUAUCCACCCUGUCUCCCACCUCGGCCAGUGUCUGGAACCCACUUACUUUUGCCAAUUGAUAUCCUUCCCUUGCCUGCUGCAGAGAACCACUGGCUUCCAUAAAUCACCUUCCAAAGUCACAGGUGAAGGCCAUGUUAACCCCUGCUUUGAUGGAAGCUUCCGUGGCAACAACGG